UUUUUUUUUUUUUUUUUAAAGAGAGAGAGAGAGAGAGAGAGAGAGAGAGAGAGAAUUUUAGUUUUCAGCAGACACAACAUCUUUGUUUGUAUGUAGUGCUGAGGAUUGAACCUGGGCCGCACGCAUGCCAGGAGAGCGAGCUACCGCUUGAGCCACAUCCCCAGCCCACUUGGGUUGAUUUAAGAUAACUCAUUAUCACCUACAGGAUAGAGAGAUAGGCAUUAAAGCCCAGUACUCUUAAUAUAAAGCUGUUGAAAUUUAUUUGCUGGAUGUUUAAGAUUUAAGUUUUAAAAUUAAAGUUAAGUUAAAAGGGCCAAGAAAACCAAUAUUUGGCUCUUGCCCUCUGAGUCAGUCUGAAUCCAGGGAACAGGGGACUUCUCUAAAGAGCUUUGCAACUCUGGGCCACAUAACCUCCUGAUCAGGGAGAUUAAUGAGACCACUGGAGAACAGAAAGCCAAUCAGUGCAUUUGCUAUGAAGAGGAGGGUCAUCAGAGAAGGGAGACAUCCCUGAUGCUUCCAAGGGAAGCCACAUGGUCAAGCAAGGCCUGGACCCAUCCUAGCGCAAAUGGCACUAGCGGAACUGAGAAGCUGCUGUAAAGUUCCCCCAAGACUCCCAGAGAAACUCAGCUGACUGUUAACCAUAGAUAGAAACAAAAGUCAGUUUGACUUGCUUCAUCUUAAACACUUAGCAAAGACAGUUAAAACCAAAACACAGCUAUUCCUGGGCAUUUUAAAUAAUAAUAAUAGUUAAAUGUAACUUCCAAGAAUAAGUAAACUGGAGGCUACAAAAGAGAUUCUUAGGCAAGAAUGCCUGAUAACUAUUAAAAAGGAACUGUCAGAGUAGUUUUUAGUUUAAGGCCUACAGCUAUUUCUAACCUACACAGGUAGGCUUGGUGUUUGCUAGUAUGAUUAUCCAGCCCUGAGUAACAAAAUUAAAGGUUUCUCUAUUAGACACAGAGGUCAUACUAGAAAAAGGAUUUUUCAAGAUCA
rnacentral:lncRNA from 1 species